GGUUCAAUAAUUUAAAUAAAUUAUGUUUUAGGAUUAAAAAACAUGAGCCAUAGUCAAAGAAAGUUUUGCGACAUGCCCGUCAUGGGUUCGAUUCCCGUUUGGACCG
rnacentral:tRNA from 1 species